ACUCCUACGGGAGGCAGCAGUGGGGAAUCUUAGACAAUGGGCGCAAGCCUGAUCUAGCCAUGCCGCGUGAGCGAUGAAGGCCUUAGGGUUGUAAAGCUCUUUCAGCGAGGAAGAUAAUGACUGUACUCGCAGAAGAAGCCCGCGUAACUCCGUGCCAGCAGCCGCGGUAAUACGGAGGGGCGUAGCGUUGUUCGGAAUUACUGGGCGUAAAGCGCACGUAGGCGGAUCAGAAAGUCAGAGGUGAAAUCCAGGCUCAACCUGAACUGCCAUUUGAAUCAUCCUGAUCUUGAGGUCGUAGAGAGGUGAGUGGAAUUCCGAGUGUAGAGGUGAAAUUCGUAGAUAUUCGGAGGAACACCAGUGGCGAAGGCGGCUCACUGGCUCGAUACUGACGCUGAGGUGCGAAAGCGUGGGGAGC
rnacentral:rRNA from 1 species